rnacentral:rRNA from 1 species
UACGGAGGGUGCAAGCGUUGUUCGGAAUCACUGGGCGUAAAGCGCGUGUAGGCGGCUAUCUAAGUCUGAUGUGAAAGCCCUGGGCUCAACUCAGGAAGUGCAUUGGAUACUGGAUAGCUGGAGUACCGGAGAGGAGGGUGGAAUUCCUGGUGUAGCGGUGAAAUGCGUAGAUAUCAGGAGGAACACCGGUGGCGAAGGCGGCAUCCUGGACCGACACUGACGCUGAGGAGCGAAAGCCAGGGGAGCAAACGGG